rnacentral:rRNA from 1 species
UUGACCUCAAAUCAAGGUAGGACUACCCCGCUGAACUUAA